UGCCCUCAUUUUUAUUUAUCACCCUGUGCAUUUUGCAUUUGCAAUGAAAACAAAUAUGUUAGACCAAAUAGUCAAUUGAACUGAUUGUUAUAGAUAGUUUAACGAUUUUGACUCCAUCUAUUCUCUUUCCAAGCAAAUUUUCAAUUUGUCCAAAAUAAGAGUUGAUUGACAUGACUGCUAAGAUCAUAGCUUGCAAACUAUAUAUAUAUAGUGAGAUUAUUACAUUUUGUUAAUCAUUACGUACCAUUUCCAUGAAUAGCUCUUGUA
rnacentral:misc_RNA from 1 species